rfam:Klebsormidium nitens mitochondrial DNA, scaffold: kfl01814, whole genome shotgun sequence.
CGCGGGAUGGAGCAAUUGGUUAGCUCGUCGGGUUUAUAAUCCCGAGUAUGUAGGUUCAAAUCCUACUCCUACAC